rnacentral:lncRNA from 1 species
AAUGUAUGAAUGAAUGAAUGAUAUAAAUAGUAAAUAUACUGUGCCAUUUAGAAUUUUUAAGUCUGAUUUUUAAGUCUUGUAUCUGUGUGUUUGUUUUGUAAGGGAAGCGCCAUUGUCUAGAACUCCAAAACCACGUUCGCCUUUUUUGUAAUUGAGGACAGAAUCUACACGGUGGGCCUUUUGUUGGUCCAGGAGCCGAAGAACGCCUGAUCGCUGCUCUAAAACCAAGAAAUUUGCCUCAGCAAGCAUCUCGGCAGCCAAAUGAAAGGGAGAACAUUACUACAGAGGGCACGUUAUAAACCCGUCCAUAUUGUAAGUGAUCUUAAUCCCCCAAUCUAACCACUUGUAUUGCCUUUUCUGGUGGGGGUUUUCCAUUGAAAUGAUUCCAGUUGCUCUUUGGCAGGGGAGAUCCACAAGCCGAGUGUGGUGUGAAGAAGAUUUCCAGAUCUGUGCAACUGGAAUAAAAGGAGGGACCACCCGUAAGGAUCAGAUAAGAGCAUGAUAUUUUCUCUCUGAGACAUGAUGACAUGUACAAAAGCGAAAUGGAGAAUUGUGCUCGAGGCGAUCUGGAGCUUCUGACAGCCUGUCUCGCUCUGAGGUUUGUUUAUGCUAGUUAAAAUGUGGUUAUAUUACAAAGUCCCUUUUGAUUUGCUGCAUUACGAUAGAUUUUACAGAUCAAGGCCCUGAAAUACAUGUUGUGCCGUGAAGAUGCCCGUGUGCGGACCCUCUAUUGAAGAGGCCUGUCUAUGCCUGUCUGCUGGGCCACCAUUUACUCUGGGUGAUUGAUGUCAGCUAUUCAGCAUGUAAGUGGUGGCUUCACACCUCUUCC